AAGCUCGUAGUUGAAUUUCGGGAUCAAUGGAUUGGUCAUGCCGAUGGUGUGUACUGGUCAUAUUGGUUCUCACCUUCUAAGGAACCAUGAUGUCAUUUAUUUGAUGUUGCGGGGAAUUAGGACUGUUACCUUGAAAAAAUUAGAGUGUUUAAAGCAGGCUAACGCUUGAAUACAUUAGCAUGGAAUAAUGAAAUAGGACAUCGCAUUCUAUUUUGUUGGUUUCUAGGAUCGAUGUAAUGAUUAAUAGGGAUAGUUGGGGGCAUUAGUAUUCAAUUGUCAGAGGUGAAAUUCUUGGAUUUAUUGAAGACUAACUACUGCGAAAGCAUUUGCCAAGGAUGUCUUCAUUAAUCAAGGACGAAAGUUAGGGGAUCGAAGACGAUCAGAUACCGUCGUAGUCUUAACCAUAAACUAUGCCGACUAGGGAUCGGAUGAUGUUGAUUUUUUAAUGACUCAUUCGGCACCUUACGGGAAACCAAAGUGUUUGGGUUCCGGGGGGAGAAUGGUCGCAAGGCUGAAACUUAAAGGAAUUGACGGAAGGGCACCACCAGGGGUGGAGCCUGCGGCUUAAUUUGACUCAACACGGGGAAACUCACCAGGUCCUGACAUAGUAAGGAUUGACAGAUUGAGAGCUCUUUCUUGAUUCUAUGGGUG
rnacentral:rRNA from 1 species